rnacentral:rRNA from 1 species
UACAGAGGUCUCAAGCGUUGUUCGGAUUCAUUGGGCGUAAAGGGCGCGUAGGCGGCGAGGUAAGUCGGGUGUGAAAUCUCAGAGCUCAACUCUGAAACUGCACUCGAUACUGCUUUGCUAGAGGACUGGAGAGGAGAUUGGAAUUCACGGUGUAGCAGUGAAAUGCGUAGAGAUCGUGAGGAAGACCAGUGGCGAAGGCGGAUCUCUGGACAGUUCCUGACGCUGAGGCGCGAAGGCCAGGGGAGCAAACAGG